rnacentral:ncRNA from 1 species
AAAGCCCCGUCGUAGAAGAUUAGCCAGAUCACUACGUAGCGAGUCUUGCAUCUCCGGCGGUAACAAAGGAGAUGAAGCGUAGACAGCGAAACAUUCGAGCCGAAACCAAUAGGUGAACGUGAUAACUCCGAAAUUCACUGAUUGUGUUGUGCCGAUGGUAUCGUCGAACCAGCAGGCAAUAGUUUCUGAAUGGGCACACUGGCGAUUU